UACGUAGGGGGCGAGCGUUAUCCGGAAUAAUUGGGCGUAAAGCGCAUGCAGGCUGCCAGCCAAGUUCAUGCUGACAAUUCCCGGCUUAACCGGGAAAGGAGUGUGAAUACUAGUUGACUUGAGAGCGAGAGAGGGACACGGAAUUCCAGGUGGAGCAGUGAAAUGCGUAGAGAUCUGGAAGAACACCAAGGGCGAAGGCAGUGUCCUGGCUCGUUUCUGACGCUCAGAUGCGAAAGCCAGGGGAGCGAACGGG
rnacentral:rRNA from 1 species